rnacentral:rRNA from 1 species
UACAGAGGGUGCAAGCGUUGCUCGGAAUCAUUGGGCGUAAAGGGUUGGUAGGUGGUCUUAUUUGUCAGGGGUGAAAUCCUUGGGCUUAACUCAAGAAGUGCCCUUGAAACGGUGAGACUAGAGUCUUGGAGAGGGUCGCGGAAUUCCCGGUGUAGUGGUGAAAUGCGUAGAUAUCGGGAGGAACACCAGUGGCGAAGGCGGCUUCCUGGCCUGUUCUUGACGCUGAGGCGCGAAAGCUAGGGGAGCAAACGGG